AACGAACGCUGGCGGCAUGCCUAACACAUGCAAGUCGAACGAGACCUUCGGGUCUAGUGGCGCACGGGUGCGUAACGCGUGGGAACCUGCCCUUAGGUUCGGAAUAACUCCCCGAAAGGGGUGCUAAUACCGGAUAAUGUCUUCGGACCAAAGAUUUAUCGCCUUUGGAUGGGCCCGCGUUGGAUUAGCUAGUUGGUAGGGUAAAAGCCUACCAAGGCGACGAUCCAUAGCUGGUCUGAGAGGAUGAUCAGCCACACUGGGACUGAGACACGGCCCAGACUCCUGCGGGAGGCAGCAGUGGGGAAUAUUGGACAAUGGGCGAAAGCCUGAUCCAGCAAGGCCGCGUGAGUGAUGAAGGCCUUAGGGUUGUAAAGCUCUUUUACCCGGGAUGAUAAUGACAGUACCGGGAGAAUAAGCGCCGGCUAACUCCGUG
rnacentral:rRNA from 1 species